rnacentral:lncRNA from 1 species
GCGAAUUUAAGGAGGGCUGACAGGGCCCCCGACCCUCCUAAAUUUUUGUAAAAUUACUUUUUAAGCCCAUUUAAUUUUUUAAUUUUGAUAUUUUAAUUAGUGUUCAAAAAAAAGGAAAAAUUUGUGUUCCCCACAAAGCUUUUCAAAGUUUUUUAAAUUUGAUUUCUUUUAUAGAAUUUAUAUAUAUUUUUAUGAUAAAUUUAGCAACAUGUUUAAUUUAAUUCGGUAAACUAAUACAAAAUAGUAUCUAAAUAUUAGUUUCACUACAGCAAAAUAGACUUUU